UCUGGGGUAGUUUAACGGUAGAAUUCCUGGCUCUGAACCAGGCGGCGUUGGUUCGAUCCCAGCCCCCAGAA
rnacentral:tRNA from 1 species